rnacentral:rRNA from 1 species
AUACGUAGGGGGCGAGCGUUGUCCGGAUUUAUUGGGCGUAAAGGGUGCGUAGGCGGCCUUGUAAGUCAGAUGUGAAAGAUCAUGGCUUAACUGUGGUAAGCAUUUGAAACUGCAGGGCUUGAGUACAGGAGAGGAGAGUGGAAUUCCUAGUGUAGCGGUGAAAUGCGUAGAUAUUAGGAGGAAUACCAGUGGCGAAAGCGACUCUCUGGACUGAUACUGACGCUGAGGCACGAAAGCGUGGGGAGCAAACAGGAUUAGAUACCCUGGUAGUCCACGCUAUAAACGAUGAGUGCUAGGCGUCGGGGGUCAAACCUCGGUGCCGCAGUUAACACAUUAAGCACUCCGCCUGGGGAGCACGGCCGCAAGGCUGAAACUCAAAGGAAUUGGCGGGG